rnacentral:rRNA from 1 species
GAUGAACGCUGGCGGCGUGCCUAAUACAUGCAAGUCGAGCGAACAGACGAGGAGUUUGCCUCUCUGACGUUAGCGGCGGACGGGUGAGUAAAACGUGGAUAACCUACCUAUAAGACUGGGAUAACUUAGGGAAACCGGAGCUAAUACCGGAUAAUAUAUUGAACCGCAUGGUUCAAUAGUGAAAAACGGUUUUGCUGUCACUUAUAGAUGGUUCCGAGCCGCAUUAGCUAGUUGGUAAGGUAACGGCUUACCAAGGCAACGAUGCGUAGACGACCUGAGAGGGUGAUCAGCCACACUGGAACUGAGACACGGUCCAGACUCCUACGGGAGGCAGCAGUAGGGAAUCUUCCGCAAUGGGCGAAAGCCUGACGGAGCAACGCCGCGUGAGUGAUGAAGGUCUUCGGAUCGUAAAACUCUGUUAUUAGGGAGGAACAAAUGUGAAAGUAACUAUGCACGUCUUGACGGUACCUAAACAAAAAGCCACGGCUAACUACGUG